AUACGUAGGGAGCGAGCGUUGUCCGGAAUUACUGGGUGUAAAGGGUGCGUAGGCGGGUCAGCAAGUCAGGCGUGAAAUACCGGGGCUCAACUCCGGGGCUGCGCUUGAAACUGUUGGUCUUGGGUGAAGUAGAGGCAGGCGGAAUUCCUAGUGUAGCGGUGAAAUGCGUAGAUAUUAGGAGGAACACUAGUGGCGAAGGCGGCCUGCUGGGCUUUAACUGACGCUGAUGCACGAAAGCAUGGGGAGCAAACAGGAUUAGAUACCCUGGUAGUCCAUGCCGUAAACGAUGAUAGCUAGGUGUGGGGGGUUAUAUGCCGUCCGUGCCGGAGUUAACACAAUAAGCGAUCCACCUGGGGAGUACGGCCGCAAGGCUAAA
rnacentral:rRNA from 1 species